UACGUAGGGUGCGAGCGUUAAUCGGAAUUACUGGGCGUAAAGCGUGCGCAGGCGGUUCGUUAAGUCAGAUGUGAAAGCCCCGGGCUCAACCUGGGAACUGCAUUUGAAACUGGCGGGCUUGAGUGUGGCAGAGGGGGGUGGAAUUCCGCGUGUAGCAGUGAAAUGCGCAGAUAUCGGGAGGAACACCAGUAGCGAAGGCGGCUCGCUGGGCCAUUCCUGACGCUGAGACGCGAAAGCUAGGGGAGCGAACAGG
rnacentral:rRNA from 1 species